ensembl:lincRNA
UGAAGAUCUUAAGAGCUUCCUGCUUGGGAAGAGACUUAAUAAGAAUUAUAGUUAAGGUUUGGGAUAGAUCAAGAGUCUUAGAAACAAAUGCUGACUCCCUGUUGAUAGAGAAAUCAUUUUAAGCUCUCUCAACCUCUGCUUUCCAUUGUAUAGGUCAGAAUUGCAUGUCUUGUCAGGAUUGUUGUACAGAAGAUAUGGAAUAGUGCCAGAGAACUGGUGGUUGAGUAAAAACUGGAGGAUUCCAAUCCAGAUCAAGAUGCUCUAGUUUGUAUUACCUCUUUUCAGUAGAUUCACCUUCUGUGUCAUCAUCUGUGAAGUUGAUGUUUGGUCUGUCAUCUUUAAGGUCCCUUUCUGCUCUGAAAUGAUAAAGCAAAUAGACUAAUGAAUAUUUGGCAUUAUAAGAGGAUAAAUAAUAG